UUAUGUCUUAUACUUUAAAAUUAGAAUUAGAUGCUCCACAUAAACUAUAAAUAAGAUUUUGAUAUGUUAUUUAUUUGUCUAUCUGUUGUGGAGGAGCAGAGUUUCAUAUUUUUUAAUUUGGAUUGUAUAUUGAUUUUUUUUUUAAAACUUUAGGAAGUUUUAUUUGCCGGAGAGGUUUUAUCAAAGUUUUUACAAAAAGUUAAGAAUCUUUUAUUUAUAUAAAAAUGUUAUAAUGCUUUUCCAUCCUAUUUUAAAUAAAUUAAAAUUAAAGUUUUUUUAAUCAAGGCUUAAGCGAAGUAAGUUUGUGCAAAUAUCCUGUGUCGAUUAUAUUUAAUUUUUGGAACAUGACAGUGAAUUUAGGAAAUUAGUUUUUCUUAAAAUUUGAUAUUCUAAAGGAAAUUGUUAUUUUUAUCAUUUUUAUAUUUUGUAUUGAGCUAUAUAAUUCUCAAGGCGUCUAAACAUGUUGCUAUUUAAAGUGGGUCUUGAAUUUUUGAUAAAAUUUUAUUUGAAUUCAUACCUUCAUAAUUUUUUUAAUUUACAUAGCCAUUGAUAUAUAUAUAUAUAUAUAUGAGGUAAGUGUUAUAUUAUUUUCAAUUGAUUAUUUUAUUAAUUAUAUAAGAAACUUGUUGUUGUGGCUUUCAUUAUUUCUAUCAACCAUGGUUGGGACGUUAUUCAUUGAAACAUUAUUUUUGGUCUCAAUGUAACUGACAUUGUAUGUCCUAUUGGAAAUUGUACCUUAGGGUCAAUCAUUAUAUUAUGUACAUUGUUAGUUAAUAAAUUUUUUUGUUAUCAUAUCAUUACAUGUUUACUAUGAUAACUAUAUCCUUGAACAAAGUACAGUGAUUGUUCUAAAUGUUCCUGGUCGGUCAUAUAUGAGGGAUUAUAGAUGAAACAAGACUAGUAUGACUUUAAUUAAUUAUAGAGAUAUAAAUCAAAGUUGUAGGCACUUGAAAGAGUAUAAGGUGUUGGAUCGACCUGCUAUGAGAAAACUACAUGAUAUAAGUCAUAAGCUUAUCUUAUAUGUAAUCAUAUCACUAAACCCUUUGACCUGAGAUUAUCAUAAAUUCCUACAUGAUGACCAUUGAACUUUGACCUAAACAAAAAUACCUUUGAUCGGGUGAUCAUGAAGGUUAUGAUUGAGUUUAGUGAUAUUCAUGUAGAGAAAUAUGAGUGGUUAAAAUGAAAUUUGUCUCUUACAUUAAGUGAAAGAUAUUAUUGGGCCACUUAAUGAGUAAGACUGAGAAAAUGUAUAGCUAUACUAUAAUGGAAAGGGUUUUUUCAUUGCUAUAGUCAAUCCACUCAGAAAUCAAUAAAGCAAUAAUCAGUUAAAAGAGAAUAAUAAUUUCAUGUCUCGAUCUUGACUGAAAUAUCGUGUGACAAAAAAAAAUAUGAUACGGUUAUAUGAUAGGUUACAUCGAAUUACGAUCCCCAUAUGAAUUUGGUAGUUAUAAUGUCUUGUUAGAGGUCACUUGUGACUUGUGGGACUAAUAGCGUAAUUAGCCUAUUGCCAACUUCAUAUGGGCCUAUAGGGUUGCACACAAAAACAGUCCAACUCAAGCUAUAAUGUCCAAGUUUAUUAAAUUAGGAAUAUGUCUAGAUUUAAUUGUAAUAGCCUUAAAAACAAAUAUAUCUAUAUACUUAUUUAAUUAACAUAUAAUAACUUGUUAAGAAUGUAUUUUAGUUAUGUUUGGGAUAAUUAUAACAAUAUGAAGUAUUGGUAGAAUGAUUGUAUGUGUGCCAAGUAACCUGAAGGUUCUAAGUUUGAAUCCUUGAUGCAAUAAAAGGGAUUUUUAUUUGGUUUAGCUUCUCUGAAAUUAUGUAAACACCCCUCCCUCAUCAAAUUUAUUUUCUUAUUCUCUCCCUUAUUUGAGUCAACUAUAAAGUACAAGAGAAAGCUAGAGAGAUUUGGAAUUUUGGAGCAACUCGUCUCCUCGUCCCUCUGUAUUUUUUCCUUUCCUCGAUCUCAAGGCUUACCGGUGUUAAUAGAGAGUUGUCAUAGCUUGGAAACUUCUAAGAGGUUCAGUCUCGCAUCUUCCAUCUCUGUUUCUCUUUUUUUUUUUCAGUUGCUGCUUGGUUUCUGUAGUCUGUGUUCAGGUUGCUAUUGGCGUGGGACCAAAUCGUUAGAGCUGGAAGUUCUACUCAUGAGCCUUUCCUUUCCCAGCUCAACCGUGAGCUUUGUGCUCUGUUGUACUGGUCUGUACUCUCUGUUUUAGUUGCCUCUCCAUUUUCUGCUCUAUCUCUGGCCGUGUGACUGUGUCGGGCUAUGGGGAAUAAACCAAGUUGCUAGAGCUAUUGUUGGUGCUGUUGAGAGCUGGGUCUACUGCUAUGACGUGGUUUUCCUCCUUUCUUGAGUGCUAUGAUCCAUUCUUCCUCUCCCUUGUUCAGUGGUGUGACGAAGAAUGGGACCCUGACCAAAAUUAAAGGAAGGAUACUUUUGAGAAUUUGAAGCUAUAACAAAUUUGUUAGCUGACGUCAAUCCUACCAUCGACCUUAAAAGGGCAGAAUAGCUACAUUGGGUGAAAGUUUUAGAUUGGCAUUGUUUCUUUUAAUGUAAAUAUAUAUAGUUUGUAUGUUUUUUUUUAUUUAAAGAAAGAUUAGAGGCUCCACAUAGAUUGUUGAUAUAUUUUGUUUUGGUUUGCAUAUGGGUUGCUGCCUGGAAGGAGCUACGCUCCUGAUUUGUACUAUUAUCUGUAAAAAAAAUUUGUUGUAAAAUUUUCGAGAGAUCCUAGUUGUAAGGGAGGUUUUGUCAAAAUUUUUACAAAAAUGUCGACACUUUCUUAUGAUAAUGAGUUUAAAGGAGUUAUUUUAAUUCU